AUACGGAGGGUGCAAGCGUUAUUCGGAAUCACUGGGCGUAAAGGACGCGUAGGCGGGUUGGCAAGUCAGAUGUGAAAUCCUACAGCUUAACUGUAGAACUGCAUUUGAAACUGCUAACCUAGAGUAUGGGAGGGGGAGACGGAAUUAGUGGUGUAGGGGUAAAAUCCGUAGAUAUCACUAGGAAUACCGAAAGCGAAGGCGAUCUCCUGGAACAUAACUGACGCUAAGGCGUGAAAGCGUGGGGAGCAAACAGGAUUAGAAACCCUAGUAGUCC
rnacentral:rRNA from 1 species